rnacentral:tRNA from 2 species
GGGCUCAUAGCUCAGUUGGUUAGAGCACCUGACUCAUAAUCAGGUGGUCGCAGGUUCGAGCCCUGCUGGGCCCAC